UGUUGAGGAAGAUAAUGACGGUACUCAACAAGGAAGUGACGGCUAACUACGUGCCAGCAGCCGCGGUAAAACGUAGGUCACAAGCGUUGUCCGGAAUUACUGGGUGUAAAGGGAGCGCAGGCGGGAGAACAAGUUGGAAGUGAAAUCCAUGGGCUCAACCCAUGAACUGCUUUCAAAACUGUUUUUCUUGAGUAGUGCAGAGGUAGGCGGAAUUCCCGGUGUAGCGGUGGAAUGCGUAGAUAUCGGGAGGAACACCAGUGGCGAAGGCGGCCUACUGGGCACCAACUGACGCUGAGGCUCGAAAGUGUGGGUAGCAAACAGGAUUAGAUACCCUGGUAGUCCACACCGUAAACGAUGAUUACUAGGUGUUGGAGGAUUGACCCCUUCAGUGCCGCAGUUAACACAAUAAGUAAUCCACCUGGGGAGUACGACCGCAAGGUUGAAACUCAAAGGAAUUGACGGGGGCCCGCACAAGCAGUGGAGUAUGUGGUUUAAUUCGACGCAACGCGAAGAACCUUACCAAGUCUUGACAUCCCUUGACGAACAUAGAAAUAUGUUUUCUCUUCGGAGCAAGGAGACAGGUGGUGCAUGGUUGUCGUCAGCUCGUGUCGUGAGAUGUUGGGUUAAGUCCCGCAACGAGCGCAACCCUUAUGGUCAGUUACUACGCAAGAGGACUCUGGCCAGACUGCCGUUGACAAAACGGAGGAAGGUGGGGAUGACGUCAAAUCAUCAUGCCCUUUAUGACUUGGGCUACACACGUACUACAAUGGCGUUAAACAAAGAGAAGCAAGACCGCGAGGUGGAGCAAAACUCAGAAACAACGUCCCAGUUCGGACUGCAGGCUGCAACUCGCCUGCACGAAGUCGGAAUUGCUAGUAAUCGUGGAUCAGCAUGCCACGGUGAAUACGUUCCCGGGCCUUGUACACACCGCCCGUCACACCAUGAGAGCCGGGGGGACCCGAAGUCGGUAGUCUAACCGCAAGGAGGACGCCGCCGAAGGUAAAACUGGUGAUUGGGGUGAAGUCGUAACAAGGUAGCCGUAGGAGAACCUGCGGCUG
rnacentral:rRNA from 1 species